GGUGCGUAUUUUGACAAUUCUACGAAAAUGUAAACAAAACAAAAUUCAGUAUCAAUAAUGCAAAUGAAGGUAAAACAAAAAUAUUAAUUUAUUGAAAUAAAAAUAAAUAAUGAAUUUAAUUUAAUCCUCAGAUAAAGAAGAAACCAAGGAUAAUAUUGCAAGAAGAAAAGUGGAAGCCCCGAGUAGGAAGCCAGCAACGCCGACAUAUUUAUUCUGGAGUGAAUAGGUACAAAUUGAAGUUAAAAUUACACUUCUCAACAAGACUUUGUUCCUGGCAAUCAAAUCGCUCUAUUCUGAUGGAUUAUAUCCUAAUUUUUAACCCUGUAGGAAUGAGAAGGGCCGAUUACAGCGAAGGGAUCGAUGUCGCAGAAGACUGAAAAGCUUUGCUUUGCAACUUAUCUGACAUGCUUCAUUUAUUUGAGAUGGAUAUGCAAGUCGAGAGUUGCUAUGAAAUUGAGGAAUCUCUUGACAUGCUGGUCAUUCAUAACCAAGCCAACUUGAACAAAUACAAGUUGAAUCAAUUGCAGCGUUUGACAGGAGCACAUUCACGUCAUGUGUCACCAUCUGUGCAAUGCAAAGCACUUCUUUCAGCCAGCUACGGAUAGGCGAAAGAUUGCAGUGUAUGCAAGUAAUUCCUCAUGAUGUGAACAAUAGUUAAUUUAAUCUAAAUCAGUUUUUCAAGACAGUACCUAACACCGAGGAUUGGCCAGUUGAUCUGUUUCACUAUUUUUUUUUUUUGCAGAAAUUCACAUUUGAAUAUCUUCCUUUUACAUUUUUGGGCGUACUCUGUGAUGUAGUUGGUCUCUGGAAGUCAAUUGAAAUACCUUCCUUCAUUUAUGAUUUAUUGCUUUCGAUGCCGUCAACAUUUUCAAUUCAAUUCAAACCCGAAUCCAGAAUUACUCUACCAAUUUAAGCUCUUGAGAUAUUAUUUUGUUUGUAAUUCGAAAGCAAUUAUAUAUAUA